GGCCGGGUGCUGGAAUGGUAGACAGGCGAGUCUCAAAAACUCGUGUGGCGCAAGCUUCGUGAGAGUUCGAGUCUCUCCCCGGCCACCA
rnacentral:tRNA from 6 species